rnacentral:rRNA from 1 species
UACGUAGGGUGCAAGCGUUAAUCGGAAUUACUGGGCGUAAAGCGUGCGCAGGCGGCUUUGCAAGACAGAUGUGAAAUCCCCGGGCUCAACCUGGGAACUGCAUUUGUGACUGCAUGGCUUGAGUGCGGCAGAGGGGGAUGGAAUUCCGCGUGUAGCAGUGAAAUGCGUAGAUAUGCGGAGGAACACCGAUGGCGAGGCAAUCCCCUGGGCCUGCACUGACGCUCAUGCACGAAAGCGUGGGGAGCAAACAGG